rnacentral:rRNA from 1 species
AUACGGAGGAUCCGAGCGUUAUCCGGAUUUAUUGGGUUUAAAGGGUGCGCAGGCGGCCAUUUAAGUCAGCGGUUAAAUCGUGGGGCUCAACCCCAUUCUGCCGUUGAUACUGGGUGGCUUGAUUGCGGUCGAGGUUGGCGGAAUUCGUUGUGUAGCGGUGAAAUGCAGAGAUAUGACGAAGAACACCGAUUGCGUAGGCAGCUGACCAGAACGCAAAUGACGCUCAUGCACGAAAGUGCGGGGAUCGAACAGGAUUAGAUACCCUGGUAGUCCGCACAGUAAACGAUGAAUACUUGUUUUCGGCGAUAGAAUGUCGGAGGCAAAGCGAAAGCGAUAAGUAUUCCACCUGGGGAGUACGCCGGCAACGGUGAAACUCAAAUGAAUUGACGGGG